GAGUUUGAUCAUGGCUCAGGACGAACGCUGGCGGCGUGCCUAAUACAUGCAAGUCGAACGAGAAUUUCUUACACCGAGUGCUUGCACUCACCGUAAGAAAUUCGAGUGGCGGACGGGUGAGUAACACGUGGGUAACCUGCCCAAAAGAAGGGGAUAACAUUUGGAAACAAAUGCUAAUACCGUAUAACCAUGAUGACCGCAUGGUCAUUAUGUAAAAGGUGGUUCUGCUAUCGCUUUUGGAUGGACCCGCGGCGUAUUAACUAGUUGGUAGGGUAACGGCCUACCAAGGUGAUGAUACGUAGCCGAGUUGAGAGACUGAUCGGCCACAAUGGGACUGAGACACGGCCCAUACUCCUACGGGAGGCAGCAGUAGGGAAUCUUCCACAAUGUGCGUAAGCCUGAUGGAGCAACGCCGCGUGAAUGAAGAAGGUCUUCGGAUCGUAAAAUUCUGUUGUUAGAGAAGAAUAUGAGUAAUAGUAACUGAUUAUUCACUGACGG
rnacentral:rRNA from 1 species